GUCCUUGUAGUGAAACGGAUAUCACAGAUUCCUCCUAAGAAUCAAUUACAGGUUCGAUUCCUGUCGGGGACACCA
rnacentral:tRNA from 1 species